rnacentral:rRNA from 1 species
AACGAACGCUGGCGGCAGGCUUAACACAUGCAAGUCGAACGCCCCGCAAGGGGAGUGGCAGACGGGUGAGUAACGCGUGGGAACGUGCACUUCGCUUCGGAAUAGCCCCGGGAAACUGGGAGUAAUACCGAAUACGCCGUAUUGGGAAAGAUUUAUCGGCGAAGGAUCGGCCCGCGUUAGAUUAGCUAGUUGGCGGUGUAAUGGACCACCAAGGCUACGAUCUAUAGCUGGUCUGAGAGGAUGAUCAGCCACACUGGGACUGAGACACAGCCCAGACUCCUACGGGAGGCAGCAGUGGGGAAUCUUAGACAAUGGGCGCAAGCCUGAUCCAGCCAUGCCGCGUGAGUGAAGAAGGCCUUAGGGUUGUAAAACUCUUUCGCCGGAGAAGAUAAUGACGGUAUCCGGAGAAGAAGCCCCGGCUAACUUCGUGCCAGCAGCAGCCGCCGUAA